rnacentral:tRNA from 1 species
GCCUUCGUAGUGUAGUGGUCAGCAGGCUAGGCGCGUUUUCAAAAAGUCCGUGGUUCAAGUCCUGGCGAAGGCA